UACUUUGUUGACCUUACUUUAAGAAACUUAGUAAAGAACACUUUUUGGUGAGUAAAGUUAUUAAACUUAUUAUCUCAAGUAAGCUUUACUUUAAAAAAAUGAGUGAGGCGGACUCGGAAGAAACUCGGGCGCACUCGGCAGCACUCGGCUCGAAUACGCAUGCGCAGUCGACCACUGAAGACGUUCUUUGGCCGAGACAGAUUGGCGGCAGCGAGAAGGCAGUGCACUGUGCGAGUUACUUUCAGGCUUUGAAAAACCUGGCAAUGAAUUAUUCUGGCUGAAUUCUGUCACUUAUCAAGCAAAAAUCUGAGUUGCAAUCAGAGUUCUUCAAAGAUCUCGACAAAUACACUCCUCGCUUCCUGGAGAAGUUCAAAACCCAGAGGGGGAAAGUGUCGGACAGAAAAUUGAAUAUCUGCAACAAGUCACACCUGGGAGUACAGAUGUGACUGGGAGGUGAACAGCAGUCCUCCCUGGCUCUCCCGUCAUCCUUGGAGAUGACAACGCAGACUUCUUCAAGAAUUUGAGGUUCAGGAGCAGCCAAUAUGAUGCAGGUGUGACGGCUGAAGAUGGUAGGUACCUGUUCAGCCUCCUGUGGUAGGAGCACAUUUCCCAGAAGCAGCAGUGACAAAGAAAUGUGGAUGUUUACCACGAAUAUGGUUGGUUGCCCACGUAUUAAACGUUGGUCUUUCUUUAUUGAAGGUGUGAGUUUAGGAUGGCAUGAAGCUUCGACUUGACCCUAUGGAAACACAGCAGAUGCCACCAAAGGGUCCUGAUCGGGGACUCUGAUGACCUUCUGGACGUGUCCCACACCUCCAUUGGGACCCUGACGGUGCUGAAGACAUUGUGGCCUCCUCACUCGCUGGACCUGGAGUCUACAACUACUGCCAUCGUUUUGGGAGGAACAGUCGUGAUGGGUGACCGUGAUAAUCUUCCCGUGCCGUGUGGCUACUCUUCGGACUUAUUUACCCCUGAAUUUGGAGUAUCCUCAACGAGUGAGGAACACCUUCUGAAUUUAUUCAUAGAGUGCUUCUGACUUGGACCAAAAACCCUAAAAUACAAUCACUCAAAAAUCUACUGAUGCCGUAAGGGACUGUGUUCAUGAUGUGCAGUCAGGCCCGAGAACUUCACCCUUCUAUCUCCAAUAGAACUCUUUUAUAGAAAAUGUCUGUUUUUGUUGUUUUUCUGCAGUUAAAUUUAGCAAAUGCCGAAAAUGCUGUGUUCAUCAUAUUUCUGCGUUACAAAACCUAAUCUGGCAACAUGUUCAGCGUUUUAAGCACGUUGUUUGAGUUUUAAAACAUGUGUUUUUCUUCUAAAUAAACGUUGUCUUCCAUUGUAA